rnacentral:rRNA from 1 species
UACGUAGGGUGCGAGCGUUGUCCGGAAUUAUUGGGCGUAAAGGGCUCGUAGGCGGUUUGUCGCGUCGGGAGUGAAAACCUCGGGCUUAACUCGGGGCUUGCUUUCGAUACGGGCAGACUGGAGGUAUGCAGGGGAGAACGGAAUUCCUGGUGUAGCGGUGAAAUGCGCAGAUAUCGAGAGGAACACCUGCGGCGAAGGCGGGUUGCUGGGCCGACACUGACGCUGAUGCGCGAAAGCCAGGGGAGCGAACGGG